GAUCAUGGCUCAGGAUGAACGCUAGCUACAGGCUUAACACAUGCAAGUCGAGGGGCAGCAUGAACUUAGCUUGCUAAGUUUGAUGGCGACCGGCGCACGGGUGAGUAACACGUAUCCAACCUUCCGUUUACUCAGGGAUAGCCUUUCGAAAGAAAGAUUAAUACCUGAUAGUAUGGUGAGAUUGCAUGAUAACACCAUUAAAGAUUUAUUGGUAAACGAUGGGGAUGCGUUCCAUUAGGUAGUAGGCGGGGUAACGGCCCACCUAGCCUGCGAUGGAUAGGGGUUCUGAGAGGAAGGUCCCCCACAUUGGAACUGAGACACGGUCCAAACUCCUACGGGAGGCAGCAGUGAGGAAUAUUGGUCAAUGGACGAGAGUCUGAACCAGCCAAGUAGCGUGCAGGAUGACGGCCCUAUGGGUUGUAAACUGCUUUUAUAAGGGAAUAAAGUGGGAGUCGUGACUCUUUUUGCAUGUACCUUAUGAAUAAGGACCGGCUAAUUCCGUG
rnacentral:rRNA from 1 species